GCAAGACCUUGCGCUUUUGGAGCGGCCGAUGUCUGAUUAGCUAGUUGGUGGGGUAAUGGCUUACCAAGGCUUCGAUCAGUAGCUGGUCUGAGAGGACGACCAGCCACACUGGGACUGAGACACGGCCCAGACUCCUACGGGAGGCAGCAGUGGGGAAUUUUGGACAAUGGGGGAAACCCUGAUCCAGCCAUGCCGCGUGAGUGAAGAAGGCCUUCGGGUUGUAAAGCUCUUUCAGCCGGAACGAAAUGGUCAUGGUUAAUACCCGUGACAAAUGACGGUACCGGAAGAAGAAGCACCGGCUAACUACGUGCCAGCAGCCGCGGUAAUACGUAGGGUGCAAGCGUUAAUCGGAAUUACUGGGCGUAAAGCGUGCGCAGGCGGUUUUGUAAGUCAGAUGUGAAAUCCCCGGGCUUAACCUGGGAACUGCGUUUGAAACUACAAGG
rnacentral:rRNA from 1 species